GACAGAUUGAGAGCUCUUUCUUGAUUUUGUGGGUGGUGGUGCAUGGCCGUUCUUAGUUGGUGGAGUGAUUUGUCUGCUUAAUUGCGAUAACGAAUGAGACCUUAACCUGCUAAAUAGCCAGGCCAGCUUUGGCUGGUCGCCGGCUUCUUAGAGGGACUAUCGGCUCAAGCCGAUGGAAGUUUGAGGCAAUAACAGGUCUGUGAUGCCCUUAGAUGUUCUGGGCCGCACGCGCGCUACACUGACCGAAUCAACGAGUACUGUCCCUUGGCCGAAAGGUCUGGGUAAUCUUGUUAAAUUCGGUCGUGCUGGGGAUCGAGC
rnacentral:rRNA from 1 species